UGAACGCUGGCGGCGUGCCUAACACAUGCAAGUCGAGCGGUAACAGGUGUAGCAAUACAUGCUGACGAGCGGCGAACGGGUGAGUAAUGCUUCGGAAUCUGCCCAAUGGUGGGGAAUAACCAGCCGAAAGGUUGGCUAAUACCGCAUAAGUCCUACGGGGGAAAGCAGGGGAUCGCAAGACCUUGCGCCGAUGGAUGAGCCGAAGUCGGAUUAGCUAGUUGGUAGGGUAACGGCCUACCAAGGCGACGAUCCGUAGCUGGUCUGAGAGGACGACCAGCCACACUGGGACUGAGACACGGCCCAGACUCCUACGGGAGGCAGCAGUGGGGAAUAUUGGACAAUGGGGGAAACCCUGAUCCAGCGACGCCGCGUGUGUGAAGAAGGCCUGCGGGUUGUAAAGCACUUUUAGUGGGGAUGAAAAGCUCAGGGCUAAUACCUCUGGGUCUUGACCUAACCCAAAGAAAAAGCACCGGCUAACUCUGUGCCAGCAGCCGCGGUAAUACAGAGGGUGCGAGCGUUAAUCGGAAUUACUGGGCGUAAAGCGUGCGUA
rnacentral:rRNA from 1 species